rnacentral:piRNA from 1 species
UGAACUGAGAUGAGCAGAGUCUGGUGCACU